rnacentral:rRNA from 1 species
AUUGAACGCUGGCGGCAGGCCUAACACAUGCAAGUCGAACGAGUGGCGGACGGGUGAGUAAUGUAUGGGAAACUGCCCGAUGGAGGGGGAUAACUACUGGAAACGGUAGCUAAUACCGCAUACUAUCGUAUGAGCCCAGAUGGGAUUAGCUAGUGGGUGGGGUAAAGGCUCACCUAGGCGCCGAUCCCUAGCUGGUCUGAGAGGAUGACCAGCCACACUGGGACUGAGACACGGCCCAGACUCCUACGGGAGGCAGCAGUGGGGAAUAUUGCACAAUGGGCGCAAGCCUGAUGCAGCCAUGCCGCGUGUAUGAAGAAGGCCUUCGGGUUGUAAAGUACUUUCAGCGGGGAGGCGUUACUCGCAGAAGAAGCACCGGCUAACUCCGUGCCAGCCGCCGCGGUAAUAC